UGCCUCUCAGGCUUUUUCUACCUAAGUCCUGUGAUUUCUCCUUCCUGCCUAAUUUCACACCUAACUUCCAGAUUUAGGCCUGGUUUGUGAGUACCUAUGCCUCUCUCAUCUCCACUCCUCUCCUUCACACAUCCAGACUCUAAUUGUGAUUUUCCAACCAACUCUCUCUGCCCUUCCUUACUCUCACGCACCAUUCCAUUCCACCCCUUUCCCCUUUUAUCAUCUUCCUCUUUCAACAUGUUUUGUACUGAGCAUGUGCAGGGAACAACCUUAUGAAACCCCAUUGGCUGACAUUUGAUUUAAAAGGCAUUUUUGUGGUCAAACUACAAACAUGUUACAUAGCUCAUGACACAUACUAGACGGUUCCCUUGACCUAACACAACAAUUUCCCCAAAAGAUAUUGUACAAUCAUCCCCAUAAACCAUCCCAGCAAAGUUUAUGGAAAGAAAAUGCAAUGUGCCAGCUUCCCAAAGUCCCACAUCAGCAGCGAACUUUGGGCUCCCAAAUUUCAGUAGUGCCCUGUGCAACAUUGAAAUUUGGCGCACGCCCCCACCUCUCAUGCUCUGUUUUACAGCACUGUUGUGUCGCCCCACCCUAAAACCGCCUCUUUUCUCAUCACACAGUUAACUCAUUCCAAAUAAGCCACUUCUUAUCCUAUAUUCUGCCAAGUUUCAAAUCAAUCCAUUUAACCAUUUUCUAACAACAGUGAAAUUCAGCCAACUCACCCUUAAUACAGACCCAUGACUGUGGCCCUAUAAUAAUUAAUAUUGGCACAGCUAGUGUUCUGAUGGUAGGAUCUGAGGCCUUAAUUCCAGAAACUAUGUGGUGUUCAGCAGGUCUUUUUUUCAGCUGGAACUCGCCGAAAUUCAGUUCUGGCAUUACUCAGGUGGGAGCUAUUGCCAUUGUAAGAGACAAGGGAUGCAUUCAGGGGGAGUUCCGGCACCUCUUUUUCUAGAAAAACAGCACUGGUUUUAAGGUUUGCUUCACACAAAAACAACCUCCUGCAUUUCCAACCGCACCAUAUCUUCUGUCACGUUUAAAGGACAGUUGUGUGUCUGAAAACAGAUGGAAAAUAUAAUCCCUUGAGAUCUACUAUAAACUGAAGACAAACGAGUCUACCAUGUAUUUUAAGACAUGUGAAUAUCAGAGAAAUUUUUUUCUUUUUAAUAAAAAAAGUAGGUUGAGCAGCAAGUGAAGGGGGGGGGAGCAUGUUCCAAAGUUGUUAUAAGGUAUGAAGCAGUCCUAAGUGCUUUGGGGUAGCAAGAAAAUAGUACACCACAGCAAAUUCUCCCAAAUUUGCAUGGUUGACCACUUGUUCAUCGUUUCUGCUGGUUUGCACUGAGAGAUACAGUGAGAUUCCUGCUUCCUACUGCAGUUGAGAGAGAAGGACCAGCAAAUGUAGGUUGCAGAGCAGGAAGUUUUAGUGCUUCUGCUGUUGCACACUGCCUCAAUGUCGGAGAUUUUAAAACAACAGGUAUAAUCUCUGAAUAUGGGGUACUGGGGCAGGUCCAGGCAAACAACCUAUAUUUACAAGUUCAUUUAGAUGUUGCCCAGUUCCAGUGUCCAAAAGAACACAACUGGAUUUUUUUUUUAAAGCUUGCAAGGAUUCUCAUUUUUAGAUGCAGCUAUCUUAGAUGACUGCCUUUCAUUUAUAGACAUUGACAUGCUCACAUCCCUUGUGAUGCUAAUAACAGCAUCUUUGAAUUUAAUGUUACACACUUGAAUGCGGCUGACGAUGAGUAGGCAGAGAAGAUUACGCAGUUAUUAGUCACAUUACCUGUCAAAGCUGGCAAUAUGAGCCUCUGGGGAUACAUCGUACACUUUAAAGAUGCAAUGUACUUGGAAUUUAAGCAUAUGUGCUUAGAAAUGAGCCCUAUUUAAAUCAACAGGCCUCAUAAGCAAGCGUGUGUAAAGAUGGACUGUAAAUGUUACUGUGCAUAUAAAAUUGGUUACUUUCACAUUGCCAUGCACUGACUACAUUUUAUAAGUACCAGAUUGUGCAUUGGUCUAAUUAGGCAGCAAGGUGCGACUGUGGCAGAAUUUUCAAGUACCAAAUGGAAAUAAUAAUGUGCUGCUAUUCUUCCCAAAGCAGUACCAUGCAAUUUUGUUUAAUAUUAAUCCUCCAAGACUAGAUGAUUCAGCUAUGCACUGAACCAGCUCUUAAUUGCAUUUUAGGGGAAAGGUUUUUCAAGAAUCAGAGUAUACAAUCCAAUGCACUCUAACUUGGAAAUAAGACCCACUGUGUUAAAUGUGACUCUACCACGUGACACAGAGGUGAGGAACAUGUGGCUCUGCAUACGUUGUUGGACUCUCUCAGUCCCAGCCAGCUCGAGUUGCAAUGCAGCAGCAACAAUUAUUCUAACUUCAAAGUAUGUGCUUACAGAUGCAAAAUCUCAUGUCUACCUGAUACAAGACUAUAAUAUUUUAUACUGUCACCUAGCAUUUCAUACUCUGUCAAACCCUCAUGCCAAUCUAACAAACAGAAAGAAAGAAAAGCAAAUGAUAUUUGCUACAAACUGAAUCCAUCCACACUGUACACAAAUAUAGGUAUUGUGGCCAUUAGUGAGUACAUACUGCUAGAUCAUUGUUUAUUGAAUGGCACUGAAAGGCAAAAUGCCAGAGAGAAAGAGAAGCAUGGGCAUGAGUGCACUCACACCCUUUAAACAAAUCACUGUUAAGAGAAAUAGCCCCUGCACAGCACAAACUGCUUAGGUCAUCCCUAUGACCCUGGUUAACCUCUGAGCGAGAAGACAGCCAACUGGGCAUGUGACAUACAAUUUCAGAUCAUUUAUCAGGAAGGGAUAGAGAGAUGCCAUGGAUAGUUGCUUGUGUUACUGGGUUCAGGCUUAAACAUACUUAAAACAGAAAAAAACUUUUUUUAAAAAAUCACUACUGGUGAACUCAGUGAGGCAAAAGUUAAAAAUAAAAAAAACUGACAACAUACUUUGAAGUCUCCAUUUCACUGCGGACCCCUCAGCCCCAUCCCACUCAUUAAAUAAGCACUCAGAUGUUUCCCCAAGAUUAACUUAUUGUUUGUUUGUUUUUUUGCUUAAUCUAUUACAAUUUGUUAAUAGUCGUAUUUUUCCAAGGUAAAUAAGCCAAGUGUCCAGGCCAGCAGAGGUGGUAAAAACAGAGUCCUGUAACUUGGACUAGACCAUCCCCGUCCUUCAAGUGUGGUAAACAGCAGAUUGAAUUUCAGCUGAAGUUGAAAGAGGAAACAAAUACUGCCAAGUGUGGAGACCGUCUUUGAUUAGACUUUCACCUCUCAGGGGGUGGGGGAAGUCUCAGUCAAUCACUUCAAUGGGCACCAGAAUGGCAAUACUCCGCCACCUGUUUCCAAAGAUAGAGGUGUUUGUAAGGUCACACUCUGUCUGGAAUAAUUCCCUGGUUCUUCUCUGGGAAUUUCAGAUGCGCUACCCACUCCCACAUAUGCCUAACUUGCGGAAGGGAAAGAAACACCAUAAGCACUGGCCCAGCUGAUGAUUACACUGCCAUGCAUUCAGUGGGGUGUCAAAAAGGGGUUGUAGCUGCUUUAAGAAUGUAAGCACCUCUUUCAGACACUCCAUUGCAUGUGUGGCUGAGGCUAGGAUUGCAAUCACAUGGUGGGUGGGACUAGCAGCAUUAGUUCAUUAAUUUCAAUGGGUCUACUUUGAGUAGAACUUUGUUUGCUGCCACUCUUAGUACAGACUUUUCUCAGGUUCAGCUGUUUCCAAUCUUAAACUCAGUUUGUCAUAUUUCUGCAUCAGCUUGGUUUUUUUUUUUUAAAGAUCAGCAUUCUAGUGCACAAUUUUCUUAAUGCACACAUACAUUUUUUGUCUAUAAUUUUACCUCAAAAUUGCAUUAUUGCAAACAACUUUCCUUAAUGCAAUAUAUUUGUGUAUGUUUCUUUGACCUAGAUAGGCAUUUUUACACAUACUUCCUCCCCUCCCCCCUCCCCAUGGAUUCUUGUGCACUUUUUAAAUUGAAUAACUACCUUGCAAGAUUCACAGCAGUGUUCUGUUUCAGACAGCGUAUAGUUUUGGGAAAUGAAUAUAAUAAAAAAUCAACAUUAAAAUGCAAAUUGAGCAGGAUGUCCCCCCCAUCUCCGCUUCAAGUGGUCAACUAUAUUGCAGUUGUUUGGGGAGCAUAGGAGUGUAUGUGAAGCACUCAACAAACCACUAAACACAAAUAGCCCACUAUGUUCUCCGCUUAUUUGACACAGGAAAUAAUCUUAAUAACAUUU